AGGGGUAUAGCUCCCUGGCAGAGCACAUGUCUAGCAUGCAUGAGGUCCUGGGUUCCAUCCCCAGCACUGCUA
rnacentral:tRNA from 1 species